rnacentral:rRNA from 1 species
UGGGGAAUAUUGGACAAUGGGCGAAAGCCUGAUCCAGCCAUGCCGCGUGUGUGAAGAAGGUCUUCGGAUUGUAAAGCACUUUAAGUUGGGAGGAAGGGCAUUUACCUAAUACGUAAGUGUUUUGACGUUACCGACAGAAUAAGCACCGGCUAACUCUGUGCCAGCAGCCGCGGUAAUACAGAGGGUGCAAGCGUUAAUCGGAAUUACUGGGCGUAAAGCGCGCGUAGGUGGUUUGUUAAGUUGGAUGUGAAAUCCCCGGGCUCAACCUGGGAACUGCAUUCAAAACUGACAAGCUAGAGUAUGGUAGAGGGUGGUGGAAUUUCCUGUGUAGCGGUGAAAUGCGUAGAUAUAGGAAGGAACACCAGUGGCGAAGGCGACCACCUGGACUGAUACUGACACUGAGGUGCGAAAAGCGUGGGGAGCAAAACAGGAUUAGAUACCCUGGUAGUCCACGCCGUAAACGAUGUCAACUAGCCGUUGGGAGCCUUGAGCUCUUAGUGGCGCAACUAACGCAUUAAGUUGACCGCCUGGGGAGUACGGCCGCAAGGUUAAAACUUAAAUGAAUUGACGGGGUCAUAGCUGUUUCCUG